rnacentral:rRNA from 1 species
UACGUAGGGCGCAAGCGUUGUCCGGAAUUAUUGGGCGUAAAGAGCUCGUAGGUGGCUUGUCACGUCGGGUGUGAAAGCUUGGGGCUUAACUCCAGGUCUGCAUUCGAUACGGGCUGGCUAGAGGUAGGUAGGGGAGAACGGAAUUCCUGGUGUAGCGGUGAAAUGCGCAGAUAUCAGGUGGAACACCGGUGGCGAAGGCGGUUCUCUGGGCCUUACCUGACGCUGAGGAGCGAAAGCGUGGGGAGCGAACAGG